AAAAAAGGAGAAGGGGAAUAAAACGCCGACAAGAGUAACCAAUAGGUUAUCAGAAAAAAAUCCAUUACAUCCCUAAGCCCCUCCCGUCCUCCCGCGACCGCCUCAAACAAUCAAAUCUCUGUCUGGAUCAAAAGCCCUUCUUGUUCCCUCUCGUUCGCGCUCCACGUGACCUCUAGCUGUCUCCGUUCAACCAGCGAACCUUCCUUCCUUCCUCCGGUGGAAUCAGAGUCUCUUUUAUUGGGUUUCUCGGAUUGGGAUUCAGCGAUUCUGGUUUGGGAUUAAAAAUUAGGGUUUAUAGAGGAGGAAUCAAUCGCCUAUGGCUCCGGGGCGUAAAAGAGGAGCUAGCAAGGCUAACGCCAAGGGGAAGUUGAUCCUCGGUGAUCUCGUUCUUGCCAAAGUCAAAGGCUUCCCUGCUUGGCCUGCUAAGAUUAGCCGGCCUGAAGAAUGGGAUCGUGCGCCUGACCCGAAGAAGUACUUUGUUAAGUUCUUUGGAACUCAGGAAAUAGCUUUUGUUGCACCGCCUGAUAUCCAAGCCUUCACUAAUGAGGCAAAGAGCAAACUAUUAGCAAGAUGUCAAGGUAAAACACUCAAGUAUUUUGCGCAAGCCGUCACGGAAAUUUGCACCGCUUUUGAAGAGUUGCAGAACCGCAAGUCAUUGGAUCCUCUCGAUACAGCGGAGCCUGGUUUGACAAAGGCUGAGACAUUGGAUGGAACAGGUCAUAUAGUCCCUAAAUUAGAUAAGAACAAUGGUGAAGAGACAAACGCUGAGACUGUGAAGAAGGAUUCAUCCCCGGGUAGCGAGUCACUGACGCAUAGUUCAUAUGACCCUAAAAUAAAGGAAGAAGAUUUUGAUAAAGGAACUGGCGGUGAUGGUUGCACUAAUGGUCAGAAGAAUCUGGCGAGAACAAAGAAGGUAGCUGGUGGCUCGGACAAAAAAGGUGAUACAAUUCAUAGAGACAAAAGCAGUAACUCACAUGUGCCUACUAGUGGUAAAUCUGAUUCCAAAAUGUCAAAAGGUCCGUUGACAGAGAAAUCUAGUACCAAAUUUUCCGGAGGUAAGCACGAAAAUUCACCUGGUGUUAAGAGUGGAGUUCCAGGCAAGAAAAGAAGGCUUGAAAGUGAACUAAGGAAGCCUGCACCAAGACUAGAUGAAAGCUCGCCUGCUGCUAAAAAACCGCGAACUGAAGGUAAAAAUGGCAGCGUUAAGUGUGAAAUUGAUGAUGAAUCUGAUCCUAUUGGGACUGGAUCAGAUAUUAAGCAUGACCUUGUUUUAGGAGCAAGUCCUCGUGAAGGAAAUUUAAGGGUGGGGAAAGGUCAUCUGGAACAGAAAGACCGUCCCUCUUCAGUUGCACAGUCUCUGAAAAAGCGAAGGGCUGUUUGCAUCUACGACGAAGAUGAUGAUGAAGAUCCAAAAACCCCAUUACAUGGAAGUCGAGCUGCUGUUCCCAAAACAUCAGAAUUGACUGAUGGUCCCAAAAGUGGCAAUGCCUCUACCAAAUCUAAGGUAUCUGCUGGACCUACAGAGAGUACUCGAGUAAAGAAAGCACCUCUGCGUAAACAUUGCGAGGAUGCUUCACGCGUAUUAUCGGAAAAUGUGGAGAAAUCUGCUAAUAGCUUACCCAUAGUGAAACCCAUCAGUGAGUUGCCGCCAAAGGAUGUCAAGCAGAUCGUUAAAUCUCCUAUGCUGUCUCCUCAGCUGGGUUCAUCUAACAAGCACGUUACAGCACAGCAAAAAGCUGCAAAGUCAUCUGUAAAAGUUUCUGGUGUUGUGAUGGCAAAGAAGCCUCAGAGUGAUUCUUGUAAGGAGGCAGUUAUGAAAUCUGAUAAAGUAAGCUAUUCUUUGUCUCAAGCUGAUCAGAGACACAAACCAGCUUCAGUUAAAGAUAGGCCAAGAGACACUUCUGAGGACUUGUCUGCUGUGAUGCCUGAUGGCAACCGAGAAAAUUGGAGUGCUCCAUUUACCAGUGCGAAGACCCCAGAUGCAGCUUCAUCUAUGAAGGAUCUAAUUGCAGCAGCACAGGCCAAAAGAAAACUAGCACAUUCACAAAAUUCAGUUUUUGGGAAUUUGAACCCUAGUUUCAUGAGCAUCAGUGAUACACAGAUGAGGAGCCAGAGCCCGUUUAUGGUUCAGAGUGCUUCAGCUUCUGCUGCCAUCGCAAUGCCUUUAGUUGUUGAAGGACAUCAACAGGAUUCUUCUCCGUCAAAUCAUGGGCAUCAGUCCUCAUCAAGAAAUCAAAAUGAGGCUGAUGUUGAUGAAGAGAGAAGACUUAGUUCAGGGCAUAAGUCAGCUGGAGGUUCACUUAGUGGUGGUACUGAGGCGGCUGUUUCCCGAGAUGCUUUUGAGGGGAUGAUAGAGACCUUAUCAAGAACUAAGGAAAGUAUUGGACGUGCAACACGCCUAGCAAUUGAUUGUGCCAAGUAUGGGAUUGCUAGUGAGGUGGUGGAACUUCUCAUACGAAAGUUGGAAAGUGAACCUCAAUUGCAUCGUAAAGUGGACUUGUUCUUUCUCGUUGACUCUAUCACCCAGUGUUCGCACAACCAAAAAGGUAUUGCUGGUGCUUCAUACGUUCCUACUGUGCAAGCUGCUUUGCCACGUCUUUUAGGUGCUGCUGCUCCUUCAGGGCUCGAUGCUCGUGACAAUCGUCGUAAAUGUCUGAAGGUUCUGAGGUUGUGGCUUGAUAGGAAAAUUUUCCCUGAAUCUCUUCUGCGUCGUUAUAUUGAUGAUAUUGGAGCUUCUGGCGAUGAUGGAACUAUUGGGAUUUCCCUGCGACGUCCUUCUAGAUCUGAGCGUUCUGUAGAUGAUCCUAUCAGAGAAAUGGAAGGGAUGCAUGUUGAUGAGUAUGGCAGCAAUGCAACUAUUCAGCUGCCUGGGUUUUUCUCUUCUCAUAACUUCGAAGAUGAUGAAGAAGAUGACGAGCUUCUAACAUCACAAAAAGCAAAAAACACAUCUUCUGGGGAACCUUUCAAUGCUUUAGAUGACUUGGAAAUGCGUGAUACUUCAAGUGAUAGACACCAUCGAGUUUUGGAGGAUGUAGAUCGUGAUCUUGAAAUGGCAGAUGUAUCUGGUGAGGGGAAAGAUGUAGCACCUUCCGCUAUCUGUGAGAAUGAGACAAAGGAGCAGUCACUGGAUGUUAGUGAACCAGUUGCGGAAAAGUCAACUGGGGUGCCUCCUCUUUCAGAGGAUUCUCCUCCGCUACCUCACGAAUCACCUCCAUCUCCCCCUCCUCUGCCCCCUUCUCCACCACCUCCGUCUCCACCUCCUCCGCCUUCAUCUCCGCCUCCGUUGCUGCCACCACCACCUCCCACAGCGCAGACCCCACCUCUUUCUUCACCCUUGUCUCAGCCUCCACCACCACUUCCCACAGCGCAGAUCCCACCUCUUCCUUCACCCUUGUCUCAGCCUCCACCACCACCGCCCCUUACACCUCCACCUUCACCUCCACCCCCACCUCCACCGCCUGCACAAUCUAUAGCUUUACCAACUCAACCAUCCAUAGCGAGCCAUCAUCAAUUACCACCGCAAUUAGGAUUUCCUCCUCCAGCAUAUCCAUUAUCGCAUCAAACAUACCCAGGAUCUAUGCAGCAAGACCGCUGUAGCAUUUUCACUGGCGAUCAAAUUGUCCAAGGGCUUGGAAGUUCUUCACGUGGAAGUCAUGUGCAGCAGUCAUAUAAUUUUAAUCCUGAAGCUUCUUCACAGAACCAACGGUUUCAGCCGAACACCACUCUCUCCCAAAGACCUAUGGUUAGGAAUCCGCCUUUAGCACCGUCCGGUCAUUUUCCGUAUCCAAGCCAUGUUCAAUCUCAAUCCCCGCAUACCUACACUCAUCCUUACUCUUUCCCACCUCAACGUGAUGACGGACGGCGAUAUAGAGAUGAGGAACCAUGGCGGAUGUCUUCAAGUGGGCGUAGUGCAGAAAACCAGAGUGGUGCCUGGAUACGUGGAAGACAUUCACAUCCAGGCCUUCCUAGAGUCACAGACAGUAUAUUUCUUUCGGCCGCCUCCAGAACGUCCACCUUCAGUGACAAUGAGCUAUCAACCUUCUUCUGCUAGUAACUUACAAUCUAUCCCGGCAAUUCCAGGUCAUGCUGCUCCCCAGAUGCUACCGUCUCGGCCAGACCUGCCUGCCGGGAAUUGUUGGCGGCCAGCUUGAAGUGAAGGUAGAAAUUCGUUGGCCUGCUCCUGUCUGCUCCUGUUAGUAUCAAGGAUAAAGAAGCGGCUAAUGUCUCAUUAACAAGGCUAAUCCUCUAGGAACGAGAAGCAUGUGUUUCUAAGCAGUUUUGAGUCUAGUCAGUCCAUGUUACAAGAAUCUCCAUAUUGCUAUUUGUGCACUGCUGAUCUGAAGAAUUAUGUAGAAGACUUGUGAGUUGCGAGAAAAUGUAUUGUUGUCGUGCGACAGGCUUUUGAUGCAUAACUGAACCGCCUAGAGCGAUGGCAAGGCGGUCCUGAUGAGAUUAUGCAAAAGCUUGGUGUGAGAAACUUCUCUUGUGCUUAUACUCUUUAUCUUCUGUGUAGUGUACAUGGAACUACAAAGAACAUAUAUAAUAGACAUGGAUUAGGGAGUUUUAUCUCUCUCUCUCUCUGUAAACAUUGACAAAGUGAAUACUGUAUGGUAGUCGACUUUGGAAAUUGCUAUUAUUGCAUGGGUGAUUUUUCAGGUGUUGAAGUUCUGAGAUUUGUUCGGGAGCUGAGAAGAUCUUCAGGCUUUAGACGAUUGUAGUUUCUCAAGUUGGGAGGUUAGUUUUGUCGUCACUGAUAAAUCACUUAUCAGGACCACCUUGUUGAGACUCUUGAGCAUAGAAACUAUAUGUUUGUAUAUUAUACUAGAAAUGUUUUGGUACACCAAACUUUAAAUAGAGUUCGAACUUAAUAAACUGUUCUUGUAAUCAAAAGAUUAAGCCUUGUUCUAUUACAAUGAUUUUUACUCAA